UCUCGAAUAGCUUAGCUUGGUAGAGCGCAGGUCUGUGGCACCUGAUACGGGGGUUCAAAUCCCCCUUCGGGAC
rnacentral:tRNA from 1 species